UACAGAGGUCUCAAGCGUUGUUCGGAUUCAUUGGGCGUAAAGGGUGCGUAGGCGGGUCUUUAAGUCAGGGGUGAAAUCCUGGAGCUCAACUCCAGAACUGCCUUCGAUACUGGCGAUCUCGAGUUCGGGAGAGGUGAGUGGAACUGCGAGUGUAGAGGUGAAAUUCGUAGAUAUUCGCAAGAACACCAGUGGCGAAGGCGGCUCACUGGCCCGAUACUGACGCUGAGGUGCGAAAGCGUGGGGAGCAAACAGG
rnacentral:rRNA from 1 species